rnacentral:rRNA from 1 species
GACGAACCGUGCGAACUUUGUUCGGAAUCACUGGGCUUAAAGGGCGCGUAGGCGGGCAGUCAAGUCAGGGGUGAAAUCCCGCGGCUCAACCGCGGAAGUGCCUUUGAUACUGGCUGUCUGGAGGGAGGUAGGGGCGUGCGGAACUUCCGGUGGAGCGGUGAAAUGCGUAGAUAUCGGAAGGAACGCCGGUGGCGAAAGCGGCGCGCUGGACCUCUUCUGACGCUGAGGCGCGAAAGCCAGGGGAGCAAACGGG